rnacentral:pre_miRNA from 1 species
UCUUAUGGAUGAGCAAAGAAAGUGGGUUCUUGAGAUGGAGUCUAGUCCUGGUAAAGAUGCUGUGAA